rnacentral:lncRNA from 1 species
CUUAUAAGUAAAAACCCCAAGAGGGCUUCCAGCAGGUAACAAAGCAGCAGGUAAGAUUUUUUUCUGGAAGAAGGCAGAGUUUAGGAAGCAGCCAGGAUUUGGGGGUUAGUUAGCAGGAGUGGGUGUCCCUCUUAUGUGUUGGUUCAAGAACGGAAGAGCACCAACUGCUCCUUGAGAUUGUGUUUUCAGUGGUGGGAAGGGGAGGUGGCUUGUAAGCAAAAGCAUAGAAUUUUCCUUCUGUCCUCGCGCCCAUCAGAGGCUUUGAAGCCCUCAGGCAGGGCCAGCAGGUUUGUUCCCUAGGCACGCCCCGGGUCAGGACUUCAUUUCCCAGAAUUCCUAGCUUUCCUAACGUACUCGGGCUCCGAGUGCCUGUGUGCGGGAGCGUAGGAAAGCGCGUGCGUGCGUGGGCGUGCUGGUGGAGGUGCAUUCUUCAGAGCCCGGGCUGGGAGGCAGCGCGGCUCUCUCCCCCGCAGUUACCGGCGUCUUGCGCGGCACCUGCAAUCCAAGGCAGGUUGCAAGCGCAGACCCGGCCUGCCCCACCCUCAUCCCCCAGGCUUCGGCUGCUGCCGCCUCUGCCGCCACUGGUCCCCCGGACCACGGACUUUUUCUGCCCCGCACUCUCCGCCUGGCCCUCGGCGUGUCCUGAAGGGAGCGGCCCAGCCCCCAGGGAAUUUCCACUGCAAGUAGAGAGACCCCGAAGGGGCGUGGGUGCCUGUGUCUGGGAACGGUGUGGAUACGAGGGUGGCUGGCGGCUUGGGGAUCAGCUCACUUUUUGGGCGCGCUUUCUAGUGAUCCGGGUGCAUCCGCCCCCAAGGCUGUCAGCGUUUCCCAUCGCCGCCUUCCAGUGCGCACCCGGCCCUGAGCGCUGCCUCACUCAAACUUUCCUUAAUGCGUUUUAUUUGGGGAGUACCAGGCGGAAAAUGUCACAUGGGAACUGGAGGGGCAGGCAGGCGAGUGGACAGCGAAGGAGAAAGGCCUGAGAGCUGACCUUGGAUCUCUGGAGUACUUCAUCCUACAGCCAGGCCUGAGAAUAUCCUGUUGGUGGUGGUAUGAUUCUGAGAGCUGACAUCAAAGAUGAUAUUGCUUUUCAAGUACCUUCAAAGGUGAGCCACUAUGAAAUACUUUAUGUUGACAGAUGACCUCUUAACCAUAAGAACCAUGCCUGGCACGGAGGGGACACUCAGGGAAUAUUUAUUGAGUGAAGGAAGGCAUUACCCCGUUGAUGUUUAUUGAGGCGGAUUAAGGGCCCCAUGAUUUUGCUGAAAUUCAUGCUUAGUGUAUACUUUGCCCUCUACAGAGACAUGCUAGGCUUUAGUAUCUAGAGUGAUAACAUGGCAAUUGGUUGAAGCCACCUAGUACCCAAGAUUCUAGGCAGAGUUCCUUGGCAGAAUUUUACAUAGGAGGUUUAUUGCCCAGCCUUGACUUUCUUGAGGGAGGUUAGGAGUAUAGUGUAAGAGAGUUGAAGAAGGAUAAAAAGGCAUAGCAGGCCGGCGCCGCGGCUCACUAGGCUAAUCCUCCGCCUAGCGGCGCCGGCACACCGGGUUCUAGUCCCGGUCGGGGCGCCGGAUUCUGUCCCGGUUGCCCCUCUUCCAGGCCAGCCCUCUGCUGUGGCCAGGGAGUGCAGUGGAGGAUGGCCCAGGUGCUUGGGCCCUGCACCCCAUGGGAGACCAGGAAAAGCACCUGGCUCCUGGCUCCUGGCUCCUGCCAUCGGAUCAGCGCGGUGCGCCGGCCGCAGCGCGCCGGCCGCGGCGGCCAUUGGAGGGUGAACCAACGGCAAAGGAAGACCUUUCUCUCUGUCUCUCUCUCUCACUGUCCACUCUGCCUGUCAUAAAAAAAAAAAAAAAAAAGGCAUAGCAAACUGUUUUCCCAGCGUGACACACACAAGCACGCUCAAAACAGUUCAUUCCAGCCAUCCUUACUGGGGUUUUGCUUCGCUGGCCUCUUAUCCUCAUCAUGUCUCUGCAUCCAUGGACAUUUCCU